rnacentral:rRNA from 1 species
CCUACGGGUGGCUGCAGUCGAGAAUCUUCGGCAAUGGGCGAAAGCCUGACCGAGCAAUGCCGCGUGCGGGAUGAAGGCCCUCGGGUUGUAAACCGCUGUCGUAGGGGAGAUCUAUCCUAGGAGGAAGUCCGGGCUAAGUUCGUGCCAGCAGCCGCGGUAACACGAACCGGACAAACGUUAUUCGGAAUUAUUGGGCUUAAAGGGUGCGUAGGCGGUGCGGUAAGUGAGGUGUGAAAGCCCUCGGCUCAACCGAGGAAUUGCGCUUCAUACUGCCGUGCUGGAGGGAGACAGAGGUAAGCGGAACUGAUGGUGGAGCGGUGAAAUGCGUUGAUAUCAUCAGGAACACCGGUGGCGAAAGCGGCUUACUGGUCCUUCUGACGCUGAGGCACGAAAGCUAGGGUAGGAACGGGAUUAGAUACCCUUGUAGUC